AAAUACCCAAUCCUGACACAGGGAGGUAGUGACAAGAAAUAACAAUACAGGGCAUAUGUCUUGUAAUUGGAAUGAUGCCGACUUAAACCCUCGGCAGAGUACCAAUUGGAGGGCAAGUCUGGUGCCAGCAGCCGCGGUAAUUCCAGCUCCAAUAGCGUAUAUUAAACUUGUUGCAGUUAAAAAGCUCGUAGUUGAAUUUGAGCUUGCGCGAUUCCGUUAUUGGAGUAUUGCGCUUGCUUUUUUGUUACUUUGAGAAAAUUAGAGUGUUUCAAGCAGACUUUUGUCUUGAAUACUUCAGCAUGGAAUAAUAGAGUAGGACCUUGGUUCUAUUUUGUUGGUUUUUGAGCCUUGGUAAUGGUUAAUAGGAACGGUUGGGGGCAUUCGUAUUUAAA
rnacentral:rRNA from 1 species